ACGGUAGCAGAUGAAUAAGGAUCGGCUAACUCCGUGCCAGCAGCCGCGGUCAUACGGAGGAUCCAAGCGUUAUCCGGAAUUACUGGGCGUAAAGAGUUGCGUAGGUGGCAUAGUAAGUUGGUAGUGAAAGCGUGGGGCUCAACCUCAUAUCCAUUACUGAAACUGCUAAGCUAGAGGGCGAGAGAGGUAACUAGAAUUCCUUGUGUAGGAGUGAAAUCCGUAGAUAUAAGGAGGAAUACCGAUGGCGUAGGCAGGUUACUGGCUCGUCCCUGACACUAAGGCACGAAAGCGUGGGUAGCAAACGGGAUUAGAUACCCCGGUAGUCCACGCUGUAAACGAUGGAUGCUAGCUGUUAUGAGUGUCGACCCUUGUAGUAGCGAAGCUAACGCGUUAAGCAUCCCGCCUGUGGAGUACGGUCGCAAGACUAAAACAUAAAGGAAUUGACGGGGACCCGCACAAGCGGUGGAGCGUGUUCUUUAAUUCGAAGGUAAGCGAAGAACCUUACCAGGGCUUGACAUCCUUGGAAUUUCUCCGAAAGGAGAGAGUACUUUAUUGG
rnacentral:rRNA from 1 species